rnacentral:misc_RNA from 1 species
ACAAGUCGCAGAACACGACGACGAUCUCUCGCCGGUGACUGUCCAGGAACGACUCGUCGCCGGAGUUGACGACCAGGUCGGCGAGUUGCGGGGAGAGGAACCGGCGCAACCUGCCGACGCGCUCCAACUGGUCCACUUGGGACUGCACUCGCUGUUCGAGCUCGCGGUUCCACCCCGCGAGCUCAGCGGCCUGACGCUCGAUCGUGUCGUGGUACCGCUUGAUCCGCACGAGCGACCGGGCACGGGCGAGCAGCUCGGCCCGGUCGAAUGGCUUGGCGACGAAAUCGUCCGCCCCCGCCUCGAUCGCGUGCAGCUUCUCCUGGUCUCCACUUGCCGUGAUCAUCACGACCGGGAGGAACGCAGUGGUCGGCUCCUUCCGGAUUCGUCGGCAUACCUCGUAUCCGUCGAGACCGGGCAUGACGAUGUCGAGCAGGACGAGAUCGGUCUGGUGUUCCUUGAGGAGGUCCAGGGCCUCCUGCCCGGAUCCCGCGGUCAGCACCCGAAAUCCGCUAGGGCUCAGGACCGCGUCGAGAAGUCUCACGUUCUGCGGCAGGUCGUCCACGACGAGGACAGUCGGUUCCUCGCUCAUCGACGUGGCUCCUUCCCGGACAAGAAAUGGCGGACCUGUUCGGGCAGGUCCCGCACGCUGAUCGGCUUCUCCAGAUAGCCGUCGAAGCCGGCACGCAAGGCCUGCUCGCGGUCUUCCCUCAUGGCGAAAGCAGUUAGUGCGACGAUGGGGACCGUACGGGUCUCCGGGCUGUCCCGGAGUCGACGAAGCGCCUCCGCUCCAUCCAUGUGAGGUAGCUGAAUGUCCAUGAGCACGAGGUCGGGGAAGCAUUUCUUUGCCAACGCGACGCCCUGCUCGCCGGAUCGCGCUUCGACGACGUCGUAUCCGGCGAACUGGAGCACGUCGCGCACCAGCUUGAGAUUCCGCUCGUUGUCCUCGACGACGAGGAUCCGGUAGUCGGUCAUCACCCCUCCCGUGCGGAGGCUGCGGGUGCCUCGGUCGUUCGGUGCACGAGGUCGACGAGAAGCGCCGGAU